UACAGAGGGUGCGAGCGUUGUCCGGAAUCACUGGGCGUAAAGGGCGCGUAGGCGGCUUGAUAAGCGUGCGGUGAAAGCCCGGGGCUCAACCCCGGGUCGGCCGUGCGAACUGUCGAGCUGGAGCACUGUAGAGGCAGGUGGAAUUCCGGGUGUAGCGGUGAAAUGUGUAGAGAUCCGGAGGAAUACCAGUGGCGCAAGCGGCGCCCUGGGUCGGUACUGACGCUGAGAUGCGAAAGCGUGGGGAGCGAACGGG
rnacentral:rRNA from 1 species